rnacentral:lncRNA from 1 species
GAUCUUAUAAAUUGUGUGAUUUAUGGCUUAAUCCUAUUCCGAUUCAUAUUUACUCACCUCAGUGGAUGAAGGCUUUGUACCAAGUACAGAGCUGUUUGGGCAUAUGGAAAAUUCUGACACAGCUUUCUGUUCUCCAAGCAGAUGCAAUGCUGGUUGAACCUUGGCCUUAGCUCUUCUCCUGCAGCUUUGUGUUGCAUCAUUGGAAAAUUGGCUGUCUGAGAGUUAUCCCAGGAAAUUUACUUAAAAACAAGUAUGGAGUGAAAAGUUUGUGCUUUGCUUGUACCACCAAGUAUUCUUGUUGUGGAUUCCAGCUUGAAUCCAUGCCAGGCAAGCAGAGGAAGCUCCUUAGAACCGGUGAGAAAAUGUCAUAUCUGCUGAUAAGAAAUUGGAUGGAACUCUAUUCUCCCUCUAGUACAAUUUCUAAUCACCUGUUACUGAUCAGAGCCAGGGCCACUUGACAUCAUUUCACGAUAUGGUUCCUACUCAUUAUGGAUUGCUCCUGACUACGUUAUACUCAAUAAGCUGGCAAUCACCUUCCCUUCUGCCAGCAUCUGCAUGAUAUCACAAGUUGAAGCCUUCUUAGCAAUCUAACUUCUUAUAGUCCCUGUACAAGAGGGACCUCAUUCUCUUUCUUCUGUAUUUCCAUUCACUUGGAUUCAUUUCAUUUGUUUCGUUAUUUCUCUACUCAUUCUUGGAUAAGACAUAGUAUCCUGUAAUUUGUAAUGGGGCUGAUUCCUUUGACAGGUUUGUGGCAGACCUGAAUGACAAAGCUCUUACAGGGUGACCAGCCUACUAGGAGAUGGACUGAUCCACCUUCAGUAUUGAAAAUUGCUCUGGAAUUCAGCUACUGAGAUUUUGUGGUCCAGCCAAGCAUAUGGCAAGAAUAAGUGUCCCCAUCUUGCCUCCCUGCACCUUCUCUCUUUACUCCCUUACCUGUGUAGAUGGCUCUAUCUGGGGUGUGUAUGUGUGUUAGUGUCACAUUCACUGAUUAGCAGGUGGUGUGUUUUUCCUCAGUGAUACGUUUAAGGAGUUCAUGGGGAUCAUUUGUAUUUCUGCUCUUCCACGGUAAUACAGAAAGUAAUAUGUUAUUCUUGAGAUAAUGAAGGUGUAUUUGCUAACGCAACUUGCAAAACAUUUCUUUAACAGAAAUGAUUCUCAAAAAUAUGUCCUAAGUCCUUGUCUCCUAAUGGUGUAGAUUUCCUCAGAGACCUCCCCUAAAAGAGAAAUCCUUUGGUUUGUCAGUGAGACAGACCUAUUAAAUAAUAAAACCCACUGGAAAUAAACA